rnacentral:tRNA from 1 species
AGCGGGUAGAACGCGGUGUAGCCCAGCAGCGACUUGAACUCGCUGAACGGCGCGCUCAGGGUGACCGUGAAGGUCUUGUCGUCGACCUUCUUC